CGGGUGAGUAAUGUAUGGGGAUCUGCCUGAUGGCGGGGGAUAACUACUGGAAACGGUAGCUAAUACCGCAUAAUGUCUACGGACCAAAGAGGGGGACCUUAGGGCCUCUUGCCAUCGGAUGUGCCCAGAUGGGAUUAGCUAGUAGGUGGGGUAAUGGCUCACCUAGGCGACGAUCCCUAGCUGGUCUGAGAGGAUGACCAGCCACACUGGAACUGAGACACGGUCCAG
rnacentral:rRNA from 1 species